GGGUUGUAAACUUCUUUUAUAUUAGAAUAAAGUGCAGUAUGUAUACUGUUUUGUAUGUAUAAUAUGAAUAGGGAUCGGCUAACUCCGUGCCAGCAGCCGCGGUAAUACGGAGGAUCCGAGCGUUAUCCGGAUUUAUUGGGUUUAAAGGGAGCGUAGGUGGGCUGGUAAGUCAGUUGUGAAAGUUUGCGGCUCAACCGUAAAAUUGCAGUUGAUACUGUCAGUCUUGAGUACAGUAGAGGUGGGCGGAAUUCGUGGUGUAGCGGUGAAAUGCUUAGAUAUCACGAAGAACUCCGAUUGCGAAGGCAGCUCACUGGACUGCAACUGACACUGAUGCUCGAAAGUGUGGGUAUCAAACAGGAUUGGAUACCCUGGUAGUCCACACAGUAAA
rnacentral:rRNA from 1 species